rnacentral:rRNA from 1 species
CCUACGGGUGGCAGCAGUGGGGGAUAUUGCACAAUGGGGGGAACCCUGAUGCAGCGACGUCGCGUGGGUGAAGAAGCGCCUCGGCGCGUAAAGCCCUGUCAGCAGGGAAGAAAAUGACGGUACCUGAAGAAGAAGCCCCGGCUAACUACGUGCCAGCAGCGGCGGUAAUACGGAGGGGGCAAGCGUUAUCCGGAUUUACUGGGUGUAAAGGGGGCGCAGACGGGGUUGAAAGGCAGGAGGGAGAGCCAGGGGCCCAACCCCGGGACUGCUCUUGAAACUGGGUGGCUGGAGUGCAGGAGGGGCAGGCGGAAUUCCUGGUGUAGCGGUGAAAUGCGUAGAUAUCAGGAGGAACACCGGUGGCGAAGGCGGCCUGCUGGACUGCAACUGACGUUGAGGCCCGAAAGCGUGGGGAGCAAACAGGAUUAGAUACCCUGGUAGUC